ensembl:lncRNA
UUAUCUCUGUUGGGGAAGAGGCCAUGGGACAGAGAGCAGAUGCAGGUGGAGAGGUCUACCUCCCUCUCUUCCCUCCAACCUUUGGUCAACAAUGGACUGAGAUGUCACUGCUUCACUACAAGUGGCUGAAGCAAUCUGGAGCUCAGAGCUGUCCCAGGCCCUCGUCCUCUAAGGUCCAGUUAGGCCCCUCUGUGCUCUCCCCACAUGCUGAUCAGCGGAUUAGACCUCAGAGGAAACAUCAAGUCAAGAGUGUGCCAGAGAAAGAGAAAGGCAUGUGGGCAGCAUGGGAUGAAUGCUGGUUUCACACGAACAUAAAACUGUUCAGGAAGGAGGAAGAGGGGUCUGGUCAUGUGAAAUCUGUCUGACCAGGUGACAGUGAAAGUGUUGCAGAGCAGACACAAAAUAGGCGAUGUGGUCACGUUUCUACGGUGUCAAAAUAUGAGUUAUCAGCCUUAACAGGAAAAUCAAUACCAGCCAAGAUUGUCAUGUUGAUGCAUCUCUGAUGUGUGUUAUUAAAAGUGGACAGAUUUAACUCUUUAUCAAUGAAAUUAUUUCACUUUUACCAAGAAAAAAUUAUACCUUAUAGUGUUAACAAAGAUUCAACCACCCACUGGGAAUUAUUCUCACAUUUAAAUCACAUCGAAACAAUUUCGUAAGAUUUCUUUUAAGUGCAAACGGCCAAGGAUAUGUAGAUGGUGUGUGUGUGUGUCCUGCUUUGGGAGUUGCAGGUUGGACACACACGGCACAAUAUGGGCUUUAAUUCAGACCAACAGCCGUCUCUGUGAAAAAGGAGGGGACAAGGCAAUUAGCCCCGGGGAGGAGAGAGAAAAAGGAGAGAACGAAGGGAAUUGUGAAUUUGACACGUUAAAUGGUGACCAUCAUUAGCAUGUGGUUGUGUAGAGUUGUAUUCACUGGAUCCUUGAAUGCAUAUUGCUUCACUACUAUGACCAUAGCCCCACCUCUCUCCUCAGUCUGUCCAUCAUCCCCACGGCCACCUUUCAGCCGUAAUCACCCUGUUUGGCCUCCGUUUUCUUUCACUUUCUUCGUCCUUUCUGACGCUUUCAUGGUUUUUAUGCUGUCAUGCUGCCUGGAACCCCUAAAUCAAAACAAAUUAAGCUGAGUAAUUAGAUGUAGGAACAAAUACAUGUUGGGUAGUAGCUGGUAGGCUCAGCACCAGUCACAGCAUGAGCUUAUCUUUCCAGUCUCACAAUGUAACCUUGACACUGUUUACUGAAACCUGCAGAUUCUCCCCAGCACUUCCUGCAGAGGUUUUUAAUUUUAGAAGACAUUAAAAACUCGUUUUGACUUGAAUACGUCUUUUACUGUGCAGAGGACCGGACAAAGCUUGUGUUCCUGCUAACGCUAUUAUAUAAGCUGGAAAAGAGCAAAGUAGUGCGCCCAGUGUGGUGCCUUUUCCUCCAUUGUGCAGAGAUCGCCUCAUGCCAGCUUUCCCCCGUCACAUUAGUGUUCAUCAGCCCAGUGAGCAUCAGACAACCUCACAGAAAGGAAGGCAGUCAUCUUCCUUUCUGCUCACUCAGCAGUUUAGUACAGGUGAUUUUUAUUUAUUUAUGUGGCAUAAAAAGGAAGGUGUGAAAACUAGACUUGGGUGGUUUCCAAACUUUAAUACCGUCUAGCUUCCUCCACAUUUACCAAGGUGCUUGGUAUUACAGGGACUAAUUUAAAAAUGAAGACGUGCGCGUCAAGUGGAAUUACCAAGCUGUUAGUUUGGACCUUCAGCUUUCAGAAACUGAAUAACAAACACUAUUACUAAAACAAUAGCAUAAUAACAGCUGUUUAAAAACGCAACUUAUACAAAUAUUUUUAGCCAGAAAAGAAAAACCAGCAUGUUUACCUUUUCCGGCUUCAACUUCUAACUACUGAAAACCUGCUUCGAUGAGCUUGUGGCACUGACAUGAGUACUUUGGUACUAUAACAUCUGGGGAAGGCUGGCAGCUUAUUUUUCACCAGAAAAGUGCAUUGUUGUCUCUUAACACCAGGCUCCAGACAGAAAGGUGCUUUCAGCUAUGGUGCCGAUGGAGCGUGCAUCUUUCGUUAUCGACUUUUUGUCAUGGUCUGUGUCCCUUUGGUCCCCAACCCCCUCCAGGUUUCCCUCAUGUUCCCGCUAGUCACUUCACUUGUUUUUAGUUUUCUAUAUGUUCAGAUUAUCUUGUCAUAUCUCUUUAAGUGUGUUGUGUUUCUUUCCUCACUUAGGUCAUUAGUUUACUUAUCUUUAGAUCUCCUGUGUCUUUGUUCAACAGUGUUUAGGUUUAUUUUAGUUUAGUAGCUUUUGUUUUACAGGAUUUAGAUCUGGUUUUCUCCCCUGUCUGUUUCUGCUCCUCCUCUCAGUUCAUUAGUCUCACCUGUGCCCAAUUCCCUUAAUCACCCAGCCCCUGUGUACAUAACCCUGUCCUGUCUCUCAGUGUUUUGUUGGUCCAUUGUCUUUGUCAGCGUUUUUCUAGUUGCCUCUUGUGCUUUAGAGUUUUUUUAGUCACUCCUCCAGAAAUAAAGGAUUCUUAUUUUUGCAACUGCUCCUGCCUGUGUAGUUCUGGGUUCUUGCAUUUUGGGUCCAAGCCUCCCUUCCCACAUUGUGACCCUUUGUUAGCACAAUUUACCUCAUCAGUGUUAACCAGCUCUCCUUUUAGGUUUGCUUCAAACCAGAAAUACUCCCAAACUGCAGAAGUUGUGUUGUUUUAGCUGUCAUUUUACUCUUGGCGCGCCGUCCUCGGGAUGACAUCACUUUCAUAAACUUUAUGGAAAGAAUAGAAUAGAAUAGAAUACUUUAUUUGUCAAUUUCUUGGAAUGUGCUUGCCAUACAAGGAAUUGAAAUUACGUUUCACACUGUCCCAUGCAUAGACAUUAGCAUAAAGUGCAGUUGCACAACAAUAACGAAAACAAAAGAACAUCCCUAACAAUAAGAUAAUAUUAAACAGGUAAAUAUUGCUAAUAAUAUACAAAACAUAUAGCAGCAGAUGUGUGCAAUUGCAAUGCAGAGGUAGUUGUUUACAAUCAGAAAUGUUUACCCUGUUCUUGGUUCAACCACUAUUUCCUUUUUGUAUAAUGUGUGUGUGUGUGUGUGUGUGUGUGUGUGUGUGUGUGUGUGUGUGUGUGUGUGUGUGUGUGUGUGUGUGUGUGUGUGUGUGU